rnacentral:rRNA from 1 species
UACGAAGGGUGCAAGCGUUACUCGGAAUUACUGGGCGUAAAGCGUGCGUAGGCGGUUUGUUAAGUCUGUCGUGAAAGCCCCGGGCUCAACCUGGGAAUGGCGAUGGAAACUGGCGAGCUAGAGUACGGUAGAGGAGAGUGGAAUUCCCGGUGUAGCAGUGAAAUGCGCAGAUAUCAGGAGGAACACCGAUGGCGAAGGCAGCUCUCUGGGACGUGACUGACGCUGAGACGCGAAAGCGUGGGGAGCGAACAGG